AACCUGGUUGAUCCUGCCAGUAGUCAUACGCUUGUCUUAAAGAUUAAGCCAUGCAUGUCUAAGUGCGGUGAACUAUACACACACCAGACUGCGGACGGCUCAUUAUAACAGUUAUAGUUUAUUUGAUGGUUCUUUUACGUGGAUAACCGUGGUAAUUCUAGAGCUAAUACAUGCCAAAGUCCCUGGCUUUACUGUCGGGGAGCAUUUAUUAGAUGUCGCACCCAAUGGCCGCAAGGUCUUAUUGAGGACUCAUAAUAACUCGAGACAGAUCGACCGCAAGGUCGGCGUAUCAUUCAAGUUUCUGACCUAUCAGUUAGUCGGUAGUGUAUUGGACUACUGAGGCUCUGACGGGUAACGGAGAAUUAGGGUUCGAUCCCGGAGAGGGAGCCUGAGAAACGGCUACCACAUCUAAGGAAGGCAGCAGGCGCGUAACUUACCCAAUCCUGACUCAGGGAGGUAGUGACAAGAAAUCACAAUAUUUCGCCCAAUCGGGCAAAGUAAUUGUAUUGAGAACAGGCUAAACAUGUUAACGAUAAACCAUUGGAGGGCAAGUCUGGUGCCAGCAGCCGCGGUAAUUCCAGCUCCAAUAGC
rnacentral:rRNA from 1 species